rnacentral:misc_RNA from 1 species
UAUCAAAGUAGGAAAAUGUGUAGGCGUUUUAGUAGGAUUCAAGAUUACCCUCAAAAGAAAUGAACAAAAGGAAAUUAAAGCAGAAUAGGGUAAGAGUAAGUAUGCCCCUUUUGUCCUAGGAUAGGGAGACUCCUGAUACCGGAUGAGUGCUACCUAAUUGGAUAGUUCUAUCUUAUAAGGUAGCUUACUACGGCUUUCAGCUAUCGUGAUAGUUAAGCUCAGGAUCUAAUUUUCUAAUAGCCACAGGUUCCCA